AAUGAAAUGCCUGACUAAAGGAUUACUGUGAUAGAGUAAAUCAUUGUAAUUUAAUUACCUACAUUA
rnacentral:tRNA from 1 species